UCAAACGAGAGUUUGAUCCUGGCUCAGAACGAACGCUGGCGGCGUGCUUAACACAUGCAAGUCGAGUGCGCGGUU
rnacentral:ncRNA from 1 species